GACGAACGCUGGCGGCGUGCCUAAUACAUGCAAGUAGAACGCUGAAGGAGGAGCUUGCUUCUCUGGAUGAGUUGCGAACGGGUGAGUAACGCGUAGGUAACCUGCCUGGUAGCGGGGGAUAACUAUUGGAAACGAUAGCUAAUACCGCAUAAGAGUAGAUGUCGCAUGACAUUUGCUUAAAAGGUGCAAUUGCAUCACUACCAGAUGGACCUGCGUUGUAUUAGCUAGUUGGUGAGGUAACGGCUCACCAAGGCAACGAUACAUAGCCGACCUGAGAGGGUGAUCGGCCACACUGGGACUGAGACACGGCCCAGACUCCUACGGGAGGCAGCAGUAGGGAAUCUUCGGCAAUAGACGGAAGUCUGACCGAGCAACGCCGCGUGAGUGAAGAAGGUUUUCGGAUCGUAAAGCUCUGUUGUAAGAGAAGAACGAGUGUGAGAGUGGAAAGUUCACACUGUGACGGUAUCUUACCAGAAAGGGACGGCUAACUACGUG
rnacentral:rRNA from 1 species